AUAUCAAUAAGCGGAGGAAAAGAAACCAACAGGGAUUGCCCCAGUAACGGCGAGUGAAGCGGCAACAGCUCAAAUUUGAAAUCUGGCCCCUCGGGGUCCGAGUUGUAAUUUGUAGAGGAUGCUUUUGGUGAGGUGCCGCCCGAGUUCCCUGGAACGGGACGCCACAGAGGGUGAGAGCCCCGUCUGGCUGGCCACCGAGCCUCUGUAAAGCUCCUUCGACGAGUCGAGUAGUUUGGGAAUGCUGCUCAAAAUGGGAGGUAUAUGUCUUCUAAAGCUAAAUAUUGGCCAGAGACCGAUAGCGCACAAGUAGAGUGAUCGAAAGAUGAAAAGCACCUUGAAAAGAGGGUUAAAUAGUACGUGAAAUUGUUGAAAGGGAAGCGCUUGUGACCAGACUUGGGCGCGGCGGAUCAUCCGGGGUUCUCUCCGGUGCACUUCGCCGCGUCUAGGCCAGCAUCAGUUCGUCGCGGGGGAAAAAGGCUUCGGGAACGUGGCUCCUCCGGGAGUGUUAUAGCCCGUUGCAUAAUACCCUGCGGUGGACUGAGGACCGCGCAUCUGCAAGGAUGCUGGCGUAAUGGUCACCAGCGA
rnacentral:rRNA from 1 species